rnacentral:lncRNA from 1 species
AUAACUUUAAAAUGCAUGAAAAAUAAAAUAUAUCAAACAUGGAUUUAAGUACGAAAGCUUAAAUUAAACAAGCAUGGAAUCCAAAUAAUAAAAAAAAUUAAUAAUACAUGAAAUUAAACUUACAAUUAAAUUUAAACAAUUAUAAAAAAAUUGCAUAGGUAUAAUUAAAAUAAAAUACACAUAGAAAUAAACUUUAUUGGAAACAAACUUUAAGCCUUAUAUUUUUAUAAAAUUUUAUUCGUCACAAUAUUCCAACUAAAGUGAUUUCUAAACUAGUAUUCUAUCAUUUUUAUUAUUCAUGUCAAGACCACAAGGGAAAUAUAAAAUCCAAUAACUUUAUCCCUUUGUUUCCUACAUUUUGGGCUUUCAAUAUUCAUUUUUAUAUGGCUUUCUUUGUUUAGUAUUUUUUUUCUUUCCAUCCUAAAAUCAUGCAACCUGUAGCCCCCACCUGUUUUCAACAAAGCCUGUUUCUUAUUCUCGUUGGCUUUCUUUUUUUUAUUUAUUUUUAUUUAUUAUUCAUUGUUGGUGGGGUUUUCUUAAGCCAUAGUUGCCACUACCCUUUCAUUCUUUUAAAAAAGCCAUGCAAAAUGUAGACUAAAGUAGAUCAAACAUUAUAUUCAUAUUCCAAUCAUCAAACUGAAAAUAGAUAGUAAAAAGAAUGGACACUAGUUCAAUCAAACCAACACACUUGCGUCAAAGAAUGGGUUUGAACUCAAAGAAAAUGAUUUCUCAUCCCCAUACACGUUGGAAGGAAGAAUUAAGCCAAAAGAAUUAAGCCAAUACACGUGGAAAGGAAGAAACUUUAAACUUCCACGAGCAUAUUACAUGCUGAAAAGGAACUAAGCAUACAAAAAUAUCAUAUAUCAUAGAUCGAUGAUGAAGUUUUGAAAUCCUAUGGAGAGAUAAAAGAAAAGCAAAAGAAAUUGAAACAAACCUAUAAACUCUCAAAACUUUUUAUUUCAUCUCAUUUAUUGGUGACUUUUAAAUACAUGAAGGAUGCUUUCAUGACUGUGAAAAAGGUUGGAAUUAAAGCCACUUGCAAUGAUAAGAAAAAUUUUAUUUUUUUUAUUUUAUUAUUUUUUUUAAGUUGAAACAGUAAGCUUCUGUUUCUUAAAAAAAAACCAUUUUUUUCAUACCCUAAACAUAGUGUGAAAAGGAAUAACCAAGCUAAUGUAAACAUGAAAGUUAUUAUGCAUUUGAAAGAGGAUCAAAGAAGCUACAUUUUUUGUUUUCUUAAAGUUUUGGCUAUCUUCCUUUUUGGCCAAAUCUCUUUUCUUGGUGAGGUUUUCUUUUCCUUUUCAUGUUAGGUUUUUUUUUUC